rnacentral:rRNA from 1 species
GAUGAACGCUAGCGGCAGGCCUAAUACAUGCAAGUCGAACGCUCAGUAGCAAUACUGGGAGUGGCGCACGGGUGCGUAACGCGUACACAAUCUACCUCUAAGCGGGGGACACCUCCUGGAAACGGGGAUUAAUACCGCAUAAUAUGCCGAGGUCGCAUGACUUUGGUAUUAAAGCAGCAAUGCACUUAGAGAUGAGUGUGCGUCCCAUUAGGUAGUUGGUGAGGUAACGGCUCACCAAGCCUAUGAUGGGUAGCCGGUCUGAGAGGAUGGUCGGCCACACGGGCACUGAGACACGGGCCCGACUCCUACGGGAGGCAGCAGUAAGGAAUAUUGGUCAAUGGUGGAAACACUGAACCAGCCAUGCCGCGUGGAGGAAUAAGGUCCUACGGAUUGUAAACUCCUUUUGACGAGGAAGAAGUGUUAGAUUUAUCUAAUUUUGACGGUACUCGUAGAAUAAGCACCGGCUAACUCCGUGCCAGCAGCCGCGGUAAU